AACUAAACAUAGCCCGUAAUUUAAAUCUCACAAAAUUAUUGCAGAAAUUAGAACAAAACAUUUACAAACAACUAAAGUAUAGGC
rnacentral:rRNA from 1 species